rfam:Pelodiscus sinensis unplaced genomic scaffold scaffold76, whole genome shotgun sequence.
GACCCAAAAGAUGGUGAACUAUGCCUGGGCAGGGCAAAGCCAGAACAAACUCUGGUGGAGGUCUGUAGCAGUUCUGACGUGCAAAUUGGUCAUCCGACCUGGGUAUGGGGCAAAAGACUAAUUGAACUAUCUAGUAGCUGG